GUUAAGCGACUAAGCGUACACGGUGGAUGCCCUGGCAGUCAGAGGCGAUGAAGGACGUGCUAAUCUGCGAUAAGCGUCGGUAAGGUGAUAUGAACCGUUAUAACCGGCGAUUUCCGAAUGGGGAAACCCAGUGUGAUUCGUCACACUAUCAUUAACUGAAUCCAUAGGUUAAUGAGGCGAACCGGGGGAACUGAAACAUCUAAGUACCCCGAGGAAAAGAAAUCAACCGAGAUUCCCCCAGUAGCGGCGAGCGAACGGGGAGCAGCCCAGAGCCUGAAUCAGUGUGUGUGUUAGUGGAAGCGUCUGGAAAGGCGCGCGAUACAGGGUGACAGCCCCGUACACAAAAAUGCACAUGCUGUGAGCUCGAUGAGUAGGGCGGGACACGUGGUAUCCUGUCUGAAUAUGGGGGGACCAUCCUCCAAGGCUAAAUACUCCUGACUGACCGAUAGUGAACCAGUACCGUGAGGGAAAGGCGAAAAGAACCCCGGCGAGGGGAGUGAAAAAGAACCUGAAACCGUGUACGUACAAGCAGUGGGAGCACGCUUAGGCGUGUGACUGCGUACCUUUUGUAUAAUGGGUCAGCGACUUAUAUUCUGUAGCAAGGUUAACCGAAUAGGGGAGCCGAAGGGAAACCGAGUCUUAACUGGGCGUUAAGUUGCAGGGUAUAGACCCGAAACCCGGUGAUCUAGCCAUGGGCAGGUUGAAGGUUGGGUAACACUAACUGGAGGACCGAACCGACUAAUGUUGAAAAAUUAGCGGAUGACUUGUGGCUGGGGGUGAAAGGCCAAUCAAACCGGGAGAUAGCUGGUUCUCCCCGAAAGCUAUUUAGGUAGCGCCUCGUGAAUUCAUCUCCGGGGGUAGAGCACUGUUUCGGCAAGGGGGUCAUCCCGACUUACCAACCCGAUGCAAACUGCGAAUACCGGAGAA
rnacentral:rRNA from 1 species